AUUCCAAGGGCCAGGUUUUCUUGGAUCAAAGUCCAACUGCAGGAAGGAACAUGUCUAUACCAAAAGGCAAGCAAAUGGUUGGAAAUAAAAGUGGUUCUGAGGAUGGGGCCUGUAGCUGAUGGUACGUGGACCAUCUUGUCACCGCACCAAGCCUCCAUCUCCACAGCCUACACCGUCCUUGCCAAAUGGCCAAGAUCUCCAUACCCCAGGUCCUAGCAACUCUGAUCACACCUCACCGACUUCAGCAAAGUCCUGUGAUUCCUCCACACCUAUGAUGAACCUACCAGCUUCACACCCAUGAUGAGAUCUGAAAGUCAGGCUUCUUAUCAAUCAGGUGCUGGGCAGAAAUGGAAGUUGAUGAUGAUGCACCUGCCCAUCUUUCUCCAAGUUCCUCUGACAGCUGUCCCAGAAGAGCAUCAAAACACGGAUGACCUGGGAGUCUACACCCUAGGCGACCUUGAGUUCAGUGAACUGUUGGCUAAGGAGAGUUCCUUAGGACACCUGGCUGCCUGUUUCAGUAAAGGGACAGGGGAUGGAAAGAAUCAGUGA
rnacentral:lncRNA from 1 species